UACGUAGGGCGCAAGCGUUAAUCGGAAUUACUGGGCGUAAAGCGUGCGCAGGCGGUUCUAUAAGACAGAUGUGAAAUCCCCGGGCUCAACCUGGGAACUGCAUUUGUGACUGUAGAGCUGGAGUACGGUAGAGGGGGAUGGAAUUCCGCGUGUAGCAGUGAAAUGCGUAGAUAUGCGGAGGAACACCGAUGGCGAAGGCAAUCCCCUGGACCUGUACUGACGCUCAUGCACGAAAGCGUGGGGAGCAAACAGG
rnacentral:rRNA from 1 species